rnacentral:lncRNA from 1 species
AACAGGGACAUGGAAAUCCAGGGAGAAAGGCCUGACAUAUGCGAUGACAGUUUUAUCAUCUCCUUUAGUUCUUCUAAAAGUAUUUGUUCCUAUGCUCUUGAAUCUCAUUUGAGGUCAAGAUGCAAUUUCAAUUCAAGCUAAUAACAAGGGCUCUGAGAGUGGUGUUCUGCUUGCUGGAGUCAAAGCAAUGCUCAGCUGUCUAUGCUGAGAUCAGUCUCUCAGUUCCAGAUGCAUAAAACUGGAGAAGCGGUCCACAGCUCAAUCACCCACCUUCUCUUCCAAAGAAUCCACAAGUACUAGAGGGACAGCAUCAGCAACACGCCGGGCGGAAUCACUCGGGGGCCUUGGAAGACCUGUUCUAUUUGCUUCUGAAGGUGAGAGAGUGGAGGACCCCAGAGAGUCUUUCCUCCCAUGGAAAAUUCUCAUGACUGAGCAGCUUUAAGCUCUUUGGAGCCCUACGGGGCUGAGAGGGCUACUUACAAGAGAGGUUGCCCAGACUCUCCCAAGGCAGUUGCAUAGCCUGAUUUUAGAAUAAUAUGUGGCCACAAAAAGAAGUCAGUCUGCUGGGAUUCCUCUGGAGAGCCUGAGAAGGGGGACAGGGCAGCCAGCUGGCUGGCAGCCACUCCAAGCACAAAGGUGGGAGCCAGCUGUGCCAGGUGUGUUUAAAGUUCAUCUUACCUUUGGUCCCCCAAUACCUGUGUGAUGGAUGGCAUUGUGGGAAGGUGUAUUCAGCCAGUAAUGCAUUUCUGUCAGAGUGGCUGGAAAUAAAAGGGAGAUGAUGGGAGGGGGGCUGCUUUUGUGCUCGGGGUAAAUAACCAGUCGGCUAGGGUUUUUCUUCUUCUUCUAUUCAUGUUCAUGGGGCCAGGAGGGACUAAAAGUUUACUGACUUUCCUAACAUUCCUUCUUCUCCAUAAAAAUGUAAGUCCAGGGUAGGUAGGAUUCCUCUCCCUCCUUGGCUGGCCAGCCUCAGAGAUUUCAGUGAGCCACUCGCAGUCCCUGAAUGCGCAGACCUGGCAUAACAAGAAGAUUUCUGACUACGGGGCAUUUCUCCGUACAGAACGGCUGGCUCUAAAGGCAGUCGGCACCCAGGAGAAAACAUGCCAAAUAAUUUUUUCUACAUUAAAUUAUGAGGUGAGCUGAAAAAACACAACUAAAUCACCC